rnacentral:rRNA from 1 species
CCCUUUGGGUGUGACUGCGUACCUUUUGUAUAAUGGGUCAGCGACUUAUAUUCUGUAGCAAGGUUAACCGAAUAGGGGAGCCGGAGGGAAACCGAGUCUUAACCGGGCGUUAAGUUGCAGGGUAUAGACCCGAAACCCGGUGAUCUAGCCAUGGGCAGGUUGAAGGUUGGGUAACACUAACUGGAGGACCGAACCGACUAAUGUUGAAAAAUUAGCGGAUGACCUGUGGCUGGGGGUGAAAGGCCAAUCAAACCGGGAGAUAGCUGGUUCUCCCCGAAAGCUAUUUAGGUAGCGCCUCGUGAAUUCAUCUCCGGGGGUAGAGCACUGUUUCGGCUAGGGGGCCAUCCCGGCUUACCAACCCGAUGCAAACUGCGAAUACCGGAGAAUGUUAUCACGGGAGACACACGGCGGGUGCUAACGUCCGUCGUGAAGAGGGAAACAACCCAGACCGCCAGCUAAGGUCCCAAAGUCAUGGUUAAGUGGGAAACGAUGUGGGAAGGCCCAGACAGCCAGGAUGUUGGCUUAGAAGCAGCCAUCAUUUAAAGAAAGCGUAAUAGCUCACUGGUCGAGUCGGCCUGCGCGGAAGAUGUAACGGGGCUAAACCAUGCACCGAAGCUGCGGCAGCGACACUGUGUGUUGUUGGGUAGGGGAGCGUUCUGUAAGCCUGCGAAGGUGGCCUGUGAGGGUUGCUGGAGGUAUCAGAAGUGCGAAUGCUGACAUAAGUAACGAUAAAGCGGGUGAAAAGCCCGCUCGCCGGAAGACCAAGGGUUCCUGUCCAACGUUAAUCGGGGCAGGGUGAGUCGACCCCUAAGGCGAGGCCGAAAGGCGUAGUCGAUGGGAAACGGGUUAAUAUUCCCGUACUUGGUGUUACUGCGAAGGGGGGACGGAGAAGGCUAUGUUGGCCGGGCGACGGUUGUCCCGGUUUAAGCGUGUAGGUGUGUGUUCCAGGUAAAUCCGGUUCACUUUAACACUGAGGCGUGACGACGAGGCACUACGGUGCUGAAGCAACAAAUGCCCUGCUUCCAGGAAAAGCCUCUAAGCAUCAGGUAACAUCAAAUCGUACCCCAAACCGACACAGGUGGUCAGGUAGAGAAUACCAAGGCGCUUGAGAGAACUCGGGUGAAGGAACUAGGCAAAAUGGUGCCGUAACUUCGGGAGAAGGCACGCUGACACGUAGGUGAAGUGAUUUACUCAUGGAGCUGAAGUCAGUCGAAGAUACCAGCUGGCUGCAACUGUUUAUUAAAAACACAGCACUGUGCAAACACGAAAGUGGACGUAUACGGUGUGACGCCUGCCCGGUGCCGGAAGGUUAAUUGAUGGGGUCAGCGCAAGCGAAGCUCCUGAUCGAAGCCCCGGUAAACGGCGGCCGUAACUAUAACGGUCCUAAGGUAGCGAAAUUCCUUGUCGGGUAAGUUCCGACCUGCACGAAUGGCGUAAUGAUGGCCAGGCUGUCUCCACCCGAGACUCAGUGAAAUUGAACUCGCUGUGAAGAUGCAGUGUACCCGCGGCAAGACGGAAAGACCCCGUGAACCUUUACUAUAGCUUGACACUGAACAUUGAGCCUUGAUGUGUAGGAUAGGUGGGAGGCUUUGAAGUGUGGACGCCAGUCUGCAUGGAGCCGACCUUGAAAUACCACCCUUUAAUGUUUGAUGUUCUAACGUGGACCCGUUACCCGGGUUGCGGACAGUGUCUGGUGGGUAGUUUGACUGGGGCGGUCUCCUCC